GAUGAAGAACGUAGCGAAAUGCGAUAAGUAAUGUGAAUUGCAGAAUUCAGUGAAUCAUCGAAUCUUUGAACGCACAUUGCGCCCCUUGGUAUUCCGAGGGGCACGCCUGUUCGAGCGUCAUUACACCACUCAAGCUAUGCUUGGUAUUGGGCGUCGUCCUUAGUUGGGCGCGCCUUAAAGACCUCGGCGAGGCCACUCCGGCUUUAGGCGUAGUAGAAUUUAUUCGAACGUCUGUCAAAGGAGAGGAACUCUGCCGACUGAAACCUUUAUUUUUCUAGGUUGACCUCGGAUCAGGUAGGGAUACCCGCUGAACUUAAGCAUAUCAAUAAGCGGAGGA
rnacentral:misc_RNA from 1 species